rnacentral:rRNA from 1 species
AGAGUUUGAUCCUGGCUCAGGAUGAACGCUAGCGGCAGGCUUAACACAUGCAAGUCGAGGGGCAGCGGGGAGGAAGCUUGCUUUCUCCGCCGGCGACCGGCGCACGGGUGAGUAACACGUAUGCAACCUGCCCCUGUCAGGGGGACAACCCGCCGAAAGGCGGGCUAAACCCGCGUACAUGCCACCGGGGCAUCCCGGAGGCAGGAAAGGCUUCGGCCGGACAGGGAUGGGCAUGCGGCGCAUUAGGCAGUAGGCGGGGUAACGGCCCACCUAACCGACGAUGCGUAGGGGUUCUGAGAGGAAGGUCCCCCACACUGGUACUGAGACACGGACCAGACUCCUACGGGAGGCAGCAGUGAGGAAUAUUGGUCAAUGGUCGGGAGACUGAACCAGCCAAGCCGCGUGAGGGAGGAAGGUACAGAGUAUCGUAAACCUCUUUUGUCAGGGAACAAAGACUGGGACGCGUCCCCGGAUGAGUGUACCUGAAGAAAAAGCAUCGGCUAACUCCGUGCCAGCAGCCGCGGUAAUACGGAGGAUGCGAGCGUUAUCCGGAUUUAUUGGGUUUAAAGGGUGCGCAGGCGGUCUGUUAAGUCAGCGGUCAAAGCCCGGGGCUCAACCCCGGCCCGCCGUUGAAACUGGCAGUCUCGAGUUGGAGAGAAGUAUGCGGAAUGCGCGGUGUAGCGGUGAAAUGCAUAGAUAUCGCGCAGAACUCCGAUUGCGAAGGCAGCAUGCCGGCUCCACACUGACGCUGAGGCACGAAAGCGUGGGUAUCGAACAGGAUUAGAUACCCUGGUAGUCCACGCAGUAAACGAUGAAUGCUGGCUGUCCGGGGGGACUGACCCCUGGGUGGCGAAGCGAAAGCGAUAAGCAUUCCACCUGGGGAGUACGCCGGCAACGGUGAAACUCAAAGGAAUUGACGGGGGCCCGCACAAGCGGAGGAACAUGUGGUUUAAUUCGAUGAUACGCGAGGAACCUUACCCGGGCUCAAACGGGGAGUGGCGCAGGCAGAGACGCCUGUUUCCCACGGGACACUCCCCGAGGUGCUGCAUGGUUGUCGUCAGCUCGUGCCGUGAGGUGUCGGCUUAAGUGCCAUAACGAGCGCAACCCCCGCGUGCAGUUGCUAACAGUCAACGCUGAGGACUCUGCACGGACUGCCGGCGCAAGCCGCGAGGAAGGCGGGGAUGACGUCAAAUCAGCACGGCCCUUACGUCCGGGGCGACACACGUGUUACAAUGGGUGGUACAGCGGGAAGCCAGGCGGCGACGCCGAGCGGAACCCGAAAUCCACUCUCAGUUCGGAUCGGAGUCUGCAACCCGACUCCGUGAAGCUGGAUUCGCUAGUAAUCGCGCAUCAGCCAUGGCGCGGUGAAUACGUUCCCGGGCCUUGCACACACCGCCCGUCAAG